GACGGGGGAGGCUAGCGUUGUCCGGAAUGACUGGGCGUAAAGCGCGUGUAGGCGGGAUUUUAAGUCGACGGUGAAAGCCUCUCGCUCAACGAGAGAAUGGCCGCCGAUACUGAGAUUCUUGAGGGCAGGAGAGGAGAGCGGAAUUGCCGGUGUAGCGGUAAAAUGCGUAGAAAUCGGCAAGAACACCCGUGGCGAAGGCGGCUCUCUGGACUGCUUCUGACGCUGAGACGCGAAAGCUAGGGUAGCGAACGGG
rnacentral:rRNA from 1 species